rnacentral:rRNA from 1 species
AAAUAAAAAAGAAAAUAUUUGCUAAAAGAUAUUUUUAUAUAGGAUUAGGUUGUUGGUGAGGUAAAAGCUCGACCAAGCCUUUUUUAUCCUUAGUUGGUUUGAGAGAUCAAUCAGCCACACUGGGACUGAGACACGGCCCAGACUUUAAUAAGGCAGCAGUGAGGAAUAUUGGACAAUGGGAGAAAUCCUGAUCCAGCAAUACUGAAAGGGUGAGCGCAGGAAUUUUAUUUUCUGGAAGGCUGUAAAAAAGAGGUUGUAAAACUCUUUCGUCGAGGAGGAAAAUGACAGUACUCGAAAAAGAAGUCCCGGCUAACUUCGUGCCAGCAGCCGCGGUAAUACGAAGGGGGCUAGCGUUGUUCGGAAUCACUGGGCGUAAAGCGCACGUAGGCGGAUUGGUCAGUUAGGGGUGAAAUCCCAGAGCUCAACUCUGGAACUGCCUUUAAUACUGCCAGUCUUGAGUCCGAGAGAGGUGAGUGGAACUCCGAGUGUAGAGGUGAAAUUCGUAGAUAUUGGAAAGA